AGAGUUUGAUCAUGGCUCAGGACGAACGCUGGCGGCGUGCUUAACACAUGCAAGUCGAACGGUGACCUCGAGAGCUUGCUCUUGGGUGAUCAGUGGCGAACGGGUGAGUAACACGUGAGUAACCUGCCCCAGACUCUGGAAUAACCCCGGGAAACCGGAGCUAAUACCGGAUACGAGACGGAGCCGCAUGGCUACCGUUUGGAAAGUUUUUCGGUCUGGGAUGGACUCGCGGCCUAUCAGUUAGUUGGUGAGGUAACGGCUCACCAAGACGACGACGGGUAGCCGGCCUGAGAGGGCGACCGGCCACACUGGGACUGAGACACGGCCCAGACUCCUACGGGAGGCAGCAGUGGGGAAUAUUGCACAAUGGGCGAAAGCCUGAUGCAGCGACGCCGCGUGAGGGAUGAAGGCCUUCGGGUUGUAAACCUCUUUCAGCAGGGAAGAAGCGAAAGUGACGGUACCUGCAGAAGAAGCACCCGGCUAACUACGUGCCAGCAGCCGCGGUA
rnacentral:rRNA from 1 species